GGUAGUCCGCAACGAGCGCAACCCUUGUCAUUAGUUGCCAUCAUUUAGUUGGGCACUCUAAUGAGACUGCCGGUGACAAACCGGAGGAAGGUGGGGAUGACGUCAAGUCCUCAUGGCCCUUAUGGGUAGGGCUUCACACGUCAUACAAUGGUCGGUACAGAGGGUUGCCAAGCCGCGAGGUGGAGCCAAUCCCUUAAAGCCGAUCGUAGUCCGGAUCGUAGUCUGCAACUCGACUACGUGAAGUCGGAAUCGCUAGUAAUCGCAGAUCAGCAUGCUGCGGUGAAUACGUUCCCGGGUCUU
rnacentral:rRNA from 1 species